UGCCUGAUGGUGUAAUGGUAGCACAACUGGUUUUGGUCCAGUUUGUCUAGGUUCGAAUCCUGGUCAGGCAGCCA
rnacentral:tRNA from 1 species